rnacentral:rRNA from 1 species
UACAGAGGAGCCAAGCGUUGUCCGGAUUGACUGGGCGUAAAGCGCACGCAGGCGGACGCGCGCGUGGGGUGUGAAAUCUGGCCGCUUAACGGCCAGGCGCCAUCCCAUACGGCGUGUCUGGAGUGAUGCAGAGGUCGGUGGAAUUGCCGGUGUAGAGGUGAAAUUCGUAGAUAUCGGAAGGAACGCCAGUGGCGAAAGCGGCUUCCUGGUCCGGCACCGACGUCAGGCACGAAAGCGUGGGGAGCAAA